rnacentral:rRNA from 1 species
UAACGAAUAUUCCGCAAUGCGCGAAAGCGUGACGGAGCAAUGCCGCGUGUGGGAUGAAGCGCCUCGGCGUGUAAACCACUGUCAGGGGAUAGGAAGAUCUGACCGUUCCCAGAGGAAGGACCGGCUAACUUCGUGCCAGCAGCCGCGGUAAUACGAAGGGUCCAAGCGUUAAUCGGAGUCACUGGGCUUAAAGCGUGCGCAGGCGGACGUGCAAGUGCCUUGUGAAAUCCCACGGCUCAACCGUGGAACUGCUCGGCAGACUGCAUGUCUUGAGGUCGGUAGGGGCCAUCGGAACGAUAGGUGGAGCGGUGAAAUGCGUAGAUAUCUAUCGGAACGCCAAAGGCGAAGGCAGAUGGCUGGGCCGAUCCUGACGCUCAGGCACGAAAGCGUGGGGAGCGAACGGGAUUAGAUACCCCCGUAGUCC